UACGUAGGGUGCAAGCGUUGUCCGGAAUUAUUGGGCGUAAAGGGCUCGUAGGCGGUUUGUCGCGUCGGGAGUGAAAUCCACUGGCUUAACUGGUGGCUUGCUUUCGAUACGGGCAGACUGGAGGUAUGCAGGGGAGAACGGAAUUCCUGGUGUAGCGGUGAAAUGCGCAGAUAUCAGGAGGAACACCGGUGGCGAAGGCGGUUCUCUGGGCCUUACCUGACGCUGAGGAGCGAAAGCGUGGGGAGCAAACAGG
rnacentral:rRNA from 1 species